CAGCGAAGAGCAGUGACGACCAGAAGUGAAAUCGAAGCUGGGCAAUCAACGUGAGCAAAGAAAAUCUUGGUGUUUGGGUGCAGCAAGCGGUUAACGGAAAGGCGUUCGGUGGAGGACUGCUAUUCGAAGAGGGAUGUUCAAAUCAGUCUAGGCGUUUGGCGGAACUGGCCAACUAUGGUUGUUCGAUAGUUCAAUCUGUGGGUGUUUGACUAGAGAAGAAGUCAGAUUGUUUGACAUCAUCUAUGAGUGUUUGCAAGAAGAAGAUCAACAUGAGACGAAGAUUGGGUGAGGGGGUCAAAGUUGGGUGAGAAGAUGAGAAGAUCAUAGAAAGGUGUUUUUUGGCGUAUGGCUGGAAAAAGUCGUGAGGGGGGAGGGUGAGAGAAGAAAAGAGAAGGAAAUAUUUGGAAAAAUUAGGUUUUUUUUUUAUAAAAAAAACACUUAUGCCCACGUUAUAAGUCUUGCGUCGACGUAUGUUUAAGUCUAGCGUCGCCAUAUGUGUAAGUUUUGCAUCGCC
rnacentral:lncRNA from 1 species